UCGGGCGGUAAAUUCCGUCCAAGGCUAAAU
rnacentral:snRNA from 1 species